AAUCUUGCUUAUGUGUGCCUUUUAUCUGGGCCGCAUGCACAGGGGGCAUUGGGAAAUAUCUCUGGACCAACCACCUAAAAGAUAUGACUCUCCUCACUUGCCUGGACUCUGCUCACAAUAGAGAUUUUGACAAAUCACUGGGUUCAGCACCUAGGUGAUGUGGCUCUUCCUUCUUUCCUGGGCUCUUCCGUCAGAGAAGAUUGUGAUGUUUUCUGAGCCCAGCACACAAGUAAGGUGACUUAACUCCCUGGACCCUCCCCACAGAGAGCAUUGUGAAAUAUCUUUGGGAUCAUCAUCUAGGUUACCGGGAUCGUAAUGUAAAUGUUAUAUCCUGACAGAGGCUACUGUGAGCUGAAUAGUGUGUUUCCCAAAAUUCAUAUGUUGACACCUUAACCCCCAGCACCUAAGGAUGUAACUAUAUUUGGAGAUAGUGUCAUCAGAGAGUCUCAGGUAUGUCUUUAUUAGCAGGAUUAAAAUGAACCAAUACAUCCCACUCCACUGUUUAAAGCAAAACUCCUGGCUCUAUGGGGUCUUCAAUUUACUGAAUGUUUUCUAGAUGCUUGCCCCUAAUUCUCUGAUGAGUCAAGAAACCUGCCACCUUAAGGUGCUUACUGGGUGGCUGUGGAUGUCUAACCUCAGUGCCAGCCACACAGAACCUGAAGCAGGGGUGGUUGCUCCUCUUAAUGGCAUGGAAUCCCAGUGAACAUCCUGCAUCCUCAGUGGCCAGCUGUCUGAGGCCACAGUUGUUUCUGAUGAUCGAGGACAAGGAGACUUACCACCCCAUGGCUGAGGAGUUUUGCAAUAAAAAGCCUGCUUCCAAUACCAGUUGGUAUCUUUACUGGGACAAAAUUAAAUUUAUGUAUUACUUCUAAAAAUUGAUGAUUGAGUAAUAUUGAGAUUUUCUACCUUAGAACAUGAUGUGGUUUUCCAUUUGUUUAUGCUGAUUUUCUUAUAUUUCAAGGACUUUUUACGGUCUUUCUCAUAUGCUUUACAAAUUUUUGUUAGAUUUAUGUAUAGCUAGUUUAUUUUAUUUUGUCCUGUUAAAAAGUAAACUGUAGCACAAUACAAAUUUUAAAAGUUUUCUUGGCAGAGAAUGGUGGUUUAUAUCUGUGAUUCCAGCACUUUGAGAGGCCAAGUUGAGAAGAUUACUUGAACCCAGGAGUUUGAGGCCAGCCUGGGAAACAUAGUAAGACCCUGUCUCUACAUAGAAAUAAGAAGAAAUUAGCCAGGUGUGGUGGUGCAUGCCUGUAGUUGCAGCUACUCAUGGGGCUAAGGUGGGAGGAUGGCUUUUGCUCAGGAUGUAAACCUGUACAGAGCUUUGAUUCUGCGUACACAUUCCACAUGAGCAACAGAGCAAGAACCUGUUUCAAAAAAUUUUUCUUGAGUAAGAAGAAACUUAUAAAAUGUGGAACACCAGAGCAGAAGAGGCUUAGCAUUUCAAUGGCAAAAUGUCAGUCAACAAGAUGAGGUCCCUGAGGAUGUCUAACUGAUUCUGUCCACUCAGGAAUGUUUUGGUCUGCCCUUUAAUUCACUUUAAAAAUCAUUUUGUAAUUUUUAUCUCCCAUCCAAUAUGUAACUUAUAUUGGAUUUCUUACAAAUUGAAGGUUUUUUGCAACCUUACAUUGAGUGACUCUAUUAACACUAUUUUUCCAACAUCAUGUGAUUUUUUUUGUGUAUAUCUGUGUCAGCCUUUUUUAGCAAUAUAGUACAUUUUUUGUCAAGGUAACCCAACUGACCACAAGAAAAACAGCCUAGAUCCUGAGCAUUCAGCUCCUGUCUUCACACAACAGACACCACACGAGUCCCAUCAAAGCCUGGUUAUUUCCCAACAUCUACCAUUGAGACAUAUUCCAGAGCAGCUUCUCAAAAUUGCCUAAACGAGAUGGGACAAG
rnacentral:lncRNA from 1 species